rnacentral:rRNA from 1 species
UGGGGAAUUUUGGACAAUGGGGGAAACCCUGAUCCAGCCAUCCCGCGUGUGCGAUGAAGGCCUUCGGGUUGUAAAGCACUUUUGGCAGGAAAGAAACGUCAUGGGUUAUUACCCCGUGAAACUGACGGUACCUGCAGAAUAAGCACCGCCUAACUACGUGCCAGCAGCCGCGGUAAUACGUAGGGUGCAAGCGUUAAUCGGAAUUACUGGGCGUAAAGCGUGCGCAGGCGGUUCGGAAAGAAAGAUGUGAAAUCCCAGAGCUCAACUUUGGAACUGCAUUUUUAACUACCGGGCUAGAGUGUGUCAGAGGGAGGUGGAAUUCCGCGUGUAGCAGUGAAAUGCGUAGAUAUGCGGAGGAACACCGAUGGCGAAGGCAGCCUCCUGGGAUAACACUGACGCUCAUGCACGAAAGCGUGGGGAGCAAACAGG